GGGGGCAAAGGCAGGAAGAGGC
rnacentral:miRNA from 1 species